rnacentral:lncRNA from 1 species
UGCGAUCGUAGGGGUCUUCCUUCUCUAACUUGCCUCCAGGAGAGAGGACCUGGCCUGCGCUGCUAAUGGGUAGUCCGUUCGCAGCAGGACCAGCCCUGGCCUAAGGAAACAGGAAAGAGUUUGAGACUUCCUUCUAAAGGAGCCACGUUUGAGAAAUGGGAUGCAGGCCUAAGUUAAGAAUGCUACAGAAAAAUAUCGAUCCCUAAGCGUAUUUACUGUUAUGUGAAUGUGUGUGUCAAAGGACUUAGGUGCUUUGGGGGAGAGGAGGGUGAAGACAGGAAUUUAUUCAUUGAGCGAAUAGUUAUUAAGCGCCCACUCUAUUCCAGACACCGUUCUAGGCAUUAGGUGAACAGCAGUGAACAAAACAGACGGAAAUCUGUGUCUACUUGUAGCUCACAUUUUAGAGAGGAAGGCACAUACUAAGCAAAGUAAUUAGAAACAUACUGUAUUUUAGGUCGUGAUAGUCCUGAAGAGAAACGUAAAGCAGGGAAGAAGGGUAUAAAGUGACACAGGAAGGUCUUGCUGAAAAGAUGACUUUUAAGUAAAGGGCUGACAGAAGUGGGAGAUUUAACCACGCGAAUAUCUUGGGAAAGUGCAGUCAGACAGAGGGACCAGCCAUUGCAGAGGUCAUGAAGCAGAAACGUGCUAGAAUAGCAAGGAGGCCUGUAGGGCAGAGUUGAGUGAAGGGUUUAGUCCUUCACUGGAGAUUAAAUCAAGGCGAGCAGGUCAUGAAGAUCUUGAGGACAUCUAACUUUUAUUCUAAAUGAAAUAGGACUUUGGAGCGUUUUGAGCAGUAGAGUGAUGGGCUCUGACUUCCUUUUAAGAGGGUCACUCUUUAAGGAAAAUACACAGAGGAG